rnacentral:rRNA from 1 species
AACGAACGCUGGCGGCGUGCCUAACACAUGCAAGUCGAGCGCGAAAGUCCCUUCGGGGGCAAGUAGAGCGGCGGACGGGUGAGUAAUACAUGGAUAAUCUCCCUUUGAGCUCGGGAUAACAGUGCGAAAGCGCUGCUAAUACCGGAUAAGACCACGUUACUAAGGUGAUGCGGGAAAAGGUGGCUUUGUUUUCGGAUAAGGCUAUCACUUGAUGAUGAGUCCAUGGCCUAUCAGCUUGUUGGUGAGGUAAAGGCUCACCAAGGCUAUGACGGGUAGCUGGUCUGAGAGGACGACCAGCCACACUGGGACUGAGACACGGCCCAGACUCCUACGGGUGGCAG